rnacentral:piRNA from 1 species
UAACAAGUCAUUGGUCCUUCUCACC